AAGGCUAAAACAGCUAGGAGGUUGGCUUAGAAGCCGCCACCCUUUAAAGAAAGCGGAAUAGCUCACUAGUCGAGUCGGCCUGCGCGGAAGAUGUACCGGGGCUUAACAUACCACCGAUGCUGCGGCUGCAAGUUUUUGUUGCGGGGUAGGGGAGCGUUGUGUAAGUGGCUGAAGGUGUGCCGGGAGGCAUGCUGGACAUAUCACAAGUGCGAAUGCUGACAUGAGUAACGAUAAUGCGGGUGAGUCGCCCGCACGCCGGAAGACCAAGGGGGCCUAUCC
rnacentral:rRNA from 1 species